rnacentral:rRNA from 1 species
GAUGAACGCUGGCGGCGUGCCUAAUACAUGCAAGUCGAGCGACCAGACGAGAAGAUUGUUCCCUUGCCGUUAGCGGGGGACGGGCGAGUAACACGUGGAUCGCAUUCUUCUAUGUCUGGGGUGAUAACGGAGAGAAGCUGACACUAAUAGAGAAUAUGAUGUACGGCUUGAAUCAACAGUGCUUGGCGGCUUUCCCGUUUCUAUUAGCCGACGCCGCAUUAGCUAGUUGGCUGGGUAACGGCCCACCAAGGCAACGAUGCGUAGCCGGGCUGAGAGGAUGAUCGGCCACACUGGAACUGAGACACGGUCCAGACUCCUACGGGAGGCAGCAGUGGGGAAUCUUCGACAAUGGGCGAAAGCCUGAUGCAGCAACACCGCGUGAGUGAAGAAGGUCUUCGGGUCGUAAAGCUCUGUUAUUGGGAAAGAACAAAAGUAUAAGUAUCCAUGCACGUCCUGACGGUACCUAAACAGAAAGCCACGGCUAACUUCGUG